UAGUCAUAUGCUUGUCUCAAAGAUUCAGCCAUGCUUGUCUAAGUAUACGCUAAUUAUACUGUGAUUACUGUGAAUGGCUCCUUAAAUCACUUAUAGUUUUUUUGAUGUUUCUCGCCUCACGGAUAACUGUGGUGAUUAUAGAGGUAACACAUGCGUUCAAAGCCCGGAGUUGUGGAAGGGGUGUAUUCCUUUGAUAAAAACCAUCCUCCUUGGAGUUUGGUGAUUCAUAAUCACUUCUGGAAUCGCACGGCCUUGUGCCGGCGAUGCUUGAUUCAAAUAUAUGCCAGUAUCAACUGUCGAUGGUAGGAUAGAGGCCUACCAUGGUUGCAACGGGUCACGGGGAAUAGGGGUUGGAUUUUGGAGAGGGAGCCUGACGCCAUUCGGGUACCACAUGGCAAGGAAGGCAGCAGGUGCGCAAAUUACCCAAUCCCGUCACGGGGAGGUAGUGACAAUAAAUAACAAUGCAGGGCCCUUUUGGGUCCUGUAAUUGGAAUGAGUACAAUUUAAAUCCCUUAUUCGAGGAACGAGG
rnacentral:rRNA from 1 species